GCUAGUCGCGCGGGUUUAGACCCGCGGCAUAUAGCUCAGUAACACGUGGCCAAACUACCCUAUGGACAGGGACAACCUCGGGAAACUGGGGCUAAUCCCUGAUACCACUCUCAUGCUGGAGUGCAGAGAGUGAGAAACGCUCCGGCGCCAUAGGAUGUGGCUGCGGCCGAUUAGGUAGAUGGUGGGGUAACGGCCCACCAUGCCAAUAAUCGGUACAGGUUGUGAGAGCAAGAGCCUGGAGACGGUGUCUGAGACAGGAUACCGGGCCCUACGGGGCGCAGCAGGCGCGAAACCUUUACACUGCACGACAGUGCGAUAAGGGGACUCCGAGUGCGAGGGCAUAUAGUCCUCGCUUUUCUGUACCGUAGGGAGGUACAGGAACAAGUGCUGGGCAAGACCGGUGCCAGCCGCCGCGGUAAUACCGGCAGCACGAGUGAUGACCGAUAUUAUUGGGCCUAAAGCGUCCGUAGCUGGCCAGACAAGUCCGUUGGGAAAUCCACGCGCUCAACGCGUGGGCGUCCGGCGGAAACUGUUUGGCUUGGGGCCAGAAGACCUGAGGGGUACGUCCGGGGUAGGAGUGAAAUCCUGUAAUCCUGGACGGACCACCAAUGGGGAAACCACCUCAGGAGGAUGGACCCGACAGUGAGGGACGAAAGCUAGGGUCUCGAACCGGAUUAGAUACCCGGGUAGUCCUAGCUGUAAACGAUGCUCGCUAGGUGUGCCGUA
rnacentral:rRNA from 1 species